GCAACAUGGAUAGCUCAAUUGGUUAGAGCAUGAUGCUGAUAAUUACCAAGGUUGCAGGUUCAAUCCUCGUAUAGGACAGCUGCA